UGAGAAUGCUAACUUGCUGAAGUAGGUACACUGUAAUGUGCAGGUGCAUCGCAGCAUAUCCUAUCAGCCCCUGCUGUGUCUGGGUGUAAACACAUGCAAAUGGGUAGGAACUUUUUCAGCCCUUGCUGUGUCUAGGCAUAGACACAUGCAAAUGGAUAUGAUCUUUUUCAGUGCAUACUAUUAUUAGAGAGUUCUCAUAUCUGAGGGGACAAUAUGAUGGACAUAUUGCUGAUAAAGAAAUUAUGGAGAAAG